rnacentral:rRNA from 1 species
GUGGAUUAGAUACCCUGGUAGUCCUAGCCCUAAACGAUCAGGACUUGGGGUGCCACCCGUUCGGGUGUCGUCCCGGAGCUAACGCGUUAAGUCCUGCACCUGGGGAGUACGGUCGCAAGACUGAAACUCAAAGGAAUUGACGGGGGCCCGCACAAGCGGUGGAACAUGUGGUUCAAUUCGACGCUACGCGAGGAACCUUACCUGGGCUCGAAAUGCUUCUGACAAUCUGUAGAAAUACGGACUUCCCGCAAGGGACAGGAGUAUAGGCGCUGCACGGCUGUCGUCAACU